UACGAAGGGGGCUAGCGUUGCUCGGAAUCACUGGGCGUAAAGGGUGCGUAGGCGGGUCUUUAAGUCAGGGGUGAAAUCCUUCAGCUCAACUGGAGAAUAGCCUUGGAUACUGGUCGCCUCGAGGGAGGUAGGGGCGGGCGGAACUUCCGGUGGAGCGGUGAAAUGCGUAGAUAUCGGAAGGAACGCCGGUGGCGAAAGCGGCCCGCUGGACCUCUUCUGACGCUGAGGCGCGAAAGCCAGGGGAGCGAACGGG
rnacentral:rRNA from 1 species